rnacentral:rRNA from 1 species
UACGAAGGGGGCUAGCGUUGUUCGGAAUCACUGGGCGUAAAGCGCACGUAGGCGGACUUUCAAGUCAGGGGUGAAAUCCCGGGGCUCAACCUCGGAACUGCCUCUGAUACUGUUGGUCUCGAGUCCGGAAGAGGUGGGUGGAAUUCCUAGUGUAGAGGUGAAAUUCGUAGAUAUUAGGAAGAACACCGGUGGCGAAGGCGGCCCACUGGUCCGGUACUGACGCUGAGGUGCGAAAGCGUGGGGAGCAAACAGG